UUCCAGGGAGAAUGUCACCGGUGCCUGCCGUCUAGGGGCGUCCCAGCUUGGCUGCACAUCUGGAAGUUGACGCUAUUAAAACAAACCCCAUUAUAUAACAAAUGGACAUCUGGAUCCCGUUAGCACUGAGUUUUUAGAAAAAGAAAUUGUUUUGGAUGUGCUCUCUCCUAAGAAUGUGGCAAAGCGCCCUCACCCAGGCUGUCCAGGAACCCAGAGACCAGGCUGCCUCUCCUGGGCUCAUUUCUCGAGUGGAGUUGACAUACAAUGAAAUGUAGAAGUCUUAAGUAAGACCCCAGGACCACAGAAUGUGACUAUAUUUGGAGACAGAUCUUCUAAAAAGCAACAGAGAAGACAGUCAGCCCUACUCAGCAGGGAGCUUCAGAACUGUACUGGAAUGUGUAAUCAUCCUAAAAUGUAUAUAAAGCACAUCAUCCUUCCCGAAAUGAGAAGUUCCUAAAUGUGAGAUUAAAGUAGGAACGCACUGUUUUUAUCCCAGUGGAUUCAAAUCCAUGAUGUCACAGGAAUGUCAUCCUUUGGUUACAAAUAACAUAAUGAUUAUACUG